rnacentral:lncRNA from 1 species
GGGAGAAACUGCCCCCUCCCGCCCUGGGAUGCUCCCCUGGGGGAGCUGGGAGCCCAGCGCUGCCUCCAGCGGUCCUCGCUGGUUUGUGUGGGGCUCCCUGAUUCCCAGCUGGCCUGGGGCGAGGCCCCCGGUCUCCUGACUCUGGGGUUCUUCCCUCUGCGAGGUGAGGACGGGCUCCAGGUCAGGGUCCUGACCCCGGAUUCCAGCAGCCUGGGAGCCGAGGCUUCUGGUGGUCCCAGCGCUGCCACCUGCUGGCCGUGAGACUUUCGCAGGUCUCUCCCCUCUGAAGCCUCAGUUUCCCUGCUAGUAGCCGGCAGGAUGAUUUUUACGGCGCUUAGGGUGAUUUGGGGAGACACAUGCCCAGCAUUCGGCACACUUGGCUCCCUUCCUAAGGUUAGGGCAUUUCCAUCACCCCAAAAGAAAGCCUGAACCUAUUAGCAAUGCUUCCCCAUUUCCCUGCCCCUGCCCUGGCGUCCGCUCAUCCGUCUACUUCCCACCUUCACAGAGUCGCCUGUGCUGGGCAUCUCGUCUGCCUGGAAUCGUGGAAUAGCUGCCUUCUGUCACCGUCACCAGUGUCCUUCACCCAGCCUCGCGUCUACCACGGGCCCCCCAGCAAGCGAGGCUGGCGCUCCAUUUACAGUCACGGACCUCCCGGCUCCUCUCCCCCAUCCUCCCCGAUGGCUGUCAAAACUGCCGCGGCGCGGCGGGAAGGCAGGGACCGGAGCAGAUUCGAGGAGCCCCGGAGGACAGCUGCGGCUCAACCCUCCUCCCCAGCCGUUUCGUCCGGAAGCAGCAUCUACGAGUUUAAUUAUGCAAUUAAAGUCAUUUUCCUGAGCUGAACAAAUAUUUACAGCAU